AGGCGUGUAGCUCAAUUGGCAGAGCAACGGUCUCCAAAACCGUAGGUUCGGGGUUCGAGUCCCUGCACGCCUG
rnacentral:tRNA from 1 species